rnacentral:snRNA from 1 species
ACAAACCGGGUUCAGUUUCGUCA